rnacentral:rRNA from 1 species
AUUGAACGCUGGCGGCAUGCCUAACACAUGCAAGUCGAACGAGUGGCGGACGGGUGAGUAAUAUCUGGGAAACUGCCCGUUGGAGGGGGAUAACUACUGGAAACUGUAUCUAAUACCGCAUACCAUCGGAUGUGCCCAUAUGGGAUUAGCUAGUAGGUGGGGUAACGGCUCACCUAGGCGACGCUCCCUAGCUGGUCUGAGAGGAUGACCAGCCAAACUGGAACGGGGACAAGGUCCAGACUCCUACGGGAGGGAGCAGUGGGGAAUAUUGCAAAAUGGGCGCAAGCCUGAUGCAGCCAUGCAGAGUGUAUGAAGAAGGCCUUGGGGUUGUAAAGUACUUUCAGCGAGGAGGCGUUACUCGCAGAAGAAGCACCGGCUAACUCCGUGCCAGCAGCCGCGGUAAUAC